AGUAGGACUAGCAAACGGGAGGACUAGCUUACGUGGUGAGAUCCCUGAGUGGUCUAAGUCCCGAGUACGGGGCAGUCGUCAGUAGUUCAACGCAAUGUGGAGUUGCCUUGAGAUGCUACGUGGACGAGGGCAUGCCCAAGACACACUUUAACCCUGGCGGGGGUCGCCAGGUGAACUCACCUAAUGGUGUUGGGAUUACAGCCUGAUAGGGUGCUGCAGAGGCCCACGCAUAAGCUAGUAUAAAAAUCUCUGCUGUACAUGGCACAUGGAAGU
rnacentral:other from 19 species